GUGGGGAAUCUUGCGCAAUGGGCGAAAGCCUGACGCAGCCAUGCCGCGUGAAUGAUGAAGGUCUUAGGAUUGUAAAAUUCUUUCACCGGGGACGAUAAUGACGGUACCCGGAGAAGAAGCCCCGGCUAACUUCGUGCCAGCAGCCGCGGUAAUACGACGGGGGCUAGCGUUGCUCGGAAUUACUGGGCGUAAAGGGCGCGUAGGCGGACAGUUUAGUCAGAGGUGAAAGCCCAGGGCUCAACCUUGGAAUUGCCUUUGAUACUGGCUGUCUUGAGUACGGGAGAGGUGAGUGGAACUCCGAGUGUAGAGGUGAAAUUCGUAGAUAUUCGGAAGAACACCAGUGGCGAAGGCGACUCACUGGCCCGUUACUGACGCUGAGGCGCGAAAGCGUGGGGAGCAAACAGGAUUAGAAACCCCAGUAGUCC
rnacentral:rRNA from 1 species